AGGAAAAAAAGAACCAUUUGGCUAU
rnacentral:piRNA from 1 species